UACAGAGGAGCCAAGCGUUGUCCGGAUUGACUGGGCGUAAAGCGCACGCAGGCGGCACCGCGCGUGGGGUGUGAAAUCUGGCCGCUUAACGGCCAGGCGCCAUCCCAUACGGCGGAGCUGGAGUGAUGCAGAGGUCGAUGGAAUUGCCGGUGUAGAGGUGAAAUUCGUAGAUAUUCGCAAGAACACCAGUGGCGAAGGCGGCUCACUGGCCCGGUACUGACGCUGAGGUGCGAAAGCGUGGGGAGCAAACAGG
rnacentral:rRNA from 1 species